CGACAGGACGGAAAGACCCCAUGGAGCUUUACUGUAGUUUGAUAUUGAGUACCUGUAAGUCAUGUACAGGAUAGGUAGGAGCCAUUGAAAUAGGGACGCUAGUUUCUAUUGAGGCGUUGUUGGGAUACUACCCUUGACUUAUGGUUACUCUAACCCGCUGGCAUAAUCGGCCAGGGAGACAGUGUCUGACGGACAGUUUGACUGGGGCGGUCG
rnacentral:rRNA from 1 species